ACUCAUGUGCCAGCACCAAGUCCUGGGAGGCGCAGGCCCAGGCAGAGACCAUCAGGGACAUCCCGCAGGCGAAACCGCUCCCGCCUGCAACGUCAGACCCCAGAUCCAUCCGGCCGGUCCAGAAGCCGCCGUGACAGAAACUGUGUGAGAGCACCAAGUGCUGGGAGCCGCAUCCCCAGCCAGGAAGCAUCAGGGACAUCCCGCAGGCGAAACCGCUCCCGCCUGCAACGUCCGACCCCAAAUCCAUCCAACCGGUCCAGAAGUCCCCAUGGCAGGACCUGCACGCCAGCACCGAGUGCUGGGAGGCGAAACCCAAGGGAGACAGCAGCCAGGACUUCCCAAAGGCAACACCACUCCCACCAGCAGCGUCAGACGCUGAACUCAUCCAGCAGAUCCAGAAGUCGCCAUGACAGGAGCCGUGUUAGAGCACCAGGUGCUGCCAGGAGCACUCACCGGUGGGACGGUGAGACAGGGACCCACCGCUGACACGUCCCAUGUCACACAGGGAGGAGCAGCCCCCAAAGGGAGAGAGCCAGCAUGCCUGCUGUGUCAGCCUUCAGAGGCCGACCCGGACAUCUGUGGGGAGAAAAACUUCAGAUAAAUGGGCUCUGUGUCCACGAGUUCUGCCUGUUUUUUGCCAGCCACCUUCCUCAGCACAAUGAUGGUCAAGUAGGACUCUUUGGCUUUCUCCCAAGGGAUAUCCUAGACGUAGUUUCCUGGGUGGUA